GUAGCCGUCAACGUGUCGAACAACCAUCGGUAAGGAUCUGCUUCUCGGCCUUUUCCAAAAAAUAUAUUUCUAGGGCAAAUCAGUUCAGCCUCCCUAAUCGCCUCCAUCUCUUUCUCGUUCUCAACUCUGAACACCCCCCCCCCCCCCUCUCUGCAACUGCCAACUACAAAAUCUACAAGAAUCAGAAGUUCAAAACCCAUAUAUUUCAGUUUAUCUAUCUGUCUGCAAGAAAAAACCUAUUACCUAUAUCAAAACCCAUAUCGGCGUGUCAUUUCAGAUUGUUCAAAAAAUCAAAACCCAUAUCUUUCAGUUUCCAUCGCCUACUGUUCCAGUUCGGGUUCGCCGUUCGCAAGCUUCAGCCGCUGUCUCUCAAGUCUCGAGCACUGCUAACUUGGUUAGCAUCGGGCUUUAACAUUUAGUAAGAACAAGGUUCAACAAACAUGCCUCCUCAGUCAUCAGGUUUCUUUUCUGAAAGAAGUAAGUUGAUGGGAAUGGGUGGAGUGGGCAAAAAGAAAAUAGGCAAACGUGCACAUUUUCUCUCGGAGAUCGGCGAAGCGAAGAAAGAUUUCUAGGGUUAUGAACGCCUCGUCAUCCACGCACACGGCUUUUCAGGAAUGGCCAGAACUGGAAACACAAAACAGCGGAAGUCACGAGUGUAGAGGCACAAGAAAAGAUCUAAGAAGCGGUCGCAGAUGGAUCCAGAAUCCCUCAAGAUGCUGAGGGAACUUAUGGCGUAUCCGGCUGCUAUUAAAACUCUCAAAGAUGACAAAAACACUCUGGAGAUACAAUUUAAUAAGGUUCGAAUUUUUUCCUUUAUCUGCCUACGAUUCUUUCGAACUUUGCCAAGGAGUUGCUCCAUAGCUUAUCUUCCAAUUGCAAACUUAUGCUUUCUCCAACUUUGGAUGAGCAGACAGGAAAGUCACUAGAUAAAUUGGCUAAGCCCAAUCUCAUACCUCUACAUGGAACGGCAACUAUAUCGACAACGUCAAGGCAAACGAUGACCUCCGAGGAUCGGAUGGGUGUACUUCGUAGUGAAAAGAGUGUUGGAGGAGCAGUUGAAGGAAAAAGAUAGCGAGGUGAACAACAAGAGAACACAGAUUGAAGUUGCAGAAAUGAUAAUGAAUGAUAUAAUUGCGGAUUUGGUAACGGUAAUGAAGGACAUUUCAAUCUCUAAUAAUAGAUGAGCUGAGUUUUGCUGCUGAUUUGAUCCGCAAGAGAGGAGAAAAUGGAUGCAGAAUCGUAUUGUGAGGGUCUCACUCAGGGAGUGUGCUGACAAAAAAAUAUGGAGUGCCACGUAUAUAUGGGUCUCUGGUGAUGAUUGUAUGUUAUGUAUUUGACCUUCCUGACUUGGAAUUAGAGGUUGAUUUGGAAUUUUCAACUAAUCUUCCUUGUAAACCUAAAACUUUCUUGGAUCACUCCCCUGCAUAUUCACUUGUAACCUUCCUGACUUGGAAUUAGAGGUUGAUUUGGAAUUUUCAACUAAUCUUCCUUGUAAACCUAAAACUUUCUUGGAUCACUCCCCUGCAUAUUCACUUGUAAUAUUACUCCUAGAAAUUUCUUUCUUUUCAUUGGUGGCGUUACCCUAAACAGAAUGUAUUUAAUGAUGUUCUCCUUUCUUGUUACAUGUUUAUUUCAAUGGUCAUGCUAAAUAAUAGUGUUUGGAAGAAGGAAAGAUAUUACUUUCAACCAUUUUGGCAAAUCUCAGAAUUAGCUGCAAAGUAACAGUGUUAAUCGUCCAGCUAUGUCUCAAAAUUAUUUUGUUUUGUUUAGAUAUUGAGCAAAUAUAUAUAAAGGUCUGAUGCUGUACAUGUGGCAUAUUUGAGAAACAUAAGGUUCAUCUACAGUUUAUCUUUCUGUUCAAUAGGUUUUAUGAAGAUAUUUAGAAAGAAUUUUGGUUUGCAGAAUUUUGAAGUUACUCUAGUUAUUUUGUUUUUCAUGGUGUUCAAGGAUUUUGCUAGGGGUGGCAAAGUUCGACACGACCCGCCGACACGACACGUACACGACACGAACUAAAUGGGUAAUGAGUUUACUAUAAACGGGUUCGAGUCGUAAACGGGUUAACACGAUUAACCCGUUAAGUUAAAAGUGUCGUGUUCGGGUUUUAGAGUUCAACCCGUUUAACUCGUUUUGUCCCGUUUAAUUAAAUGUGUCACCCGUGAACCCGUAUAACCUGUUUUGACCUGAUAAGGGACAUUUAGGUCAUUUCAUACUAUACAUAAGAAACCCUACAUAUCACAUUAUCACUAUACGCCCUAGUCAUUAGAAGAUAUCUGCCUCUGCGUUUUCUCUCUCUUCUCUCCUGACUCUUCAGUCUCUCUCUAGUCUUUGUCACUCCUCUUUCCUCUUCAGAGUUCAGACAUCGUGAACUCACCCGGAUGAUCGGAUCUCUAUCUUCAGUCUAGUCUCCAGUCCUCCGUCUUGUACAACUCAGUGAACUCACCCGGACCUAUCUUCUUGUUGCACGCAUCUGAUUCUUCUACAACUUAGUGAACUCACCCGGAUCUAUCUUCUUGUUUAGGUAAAAUACUAAAAUUAUUUAUGGUUUAUGGUUUAUCUAAAUAUUGUUUUGGUCCUCCUCUCUCUAUAUAGUUUAUCUAAAAUUAUUUAUGGUUUUCGUUUGGAUUUUGUUUAUGGGAUGAGAUCGAUUUAAUUUUCUUGAUUGCUGAUUUACUGAAUUUGUUGUUUUUGUGGAUAGCCUGAGUGUAUAGUUGAUUUUUUUUGGCUUUUGUGCAGUUGUUUUCAGAAUUAUCUUAUGAUAUAUAAUUAUAUAUGCUCAACUCGAUUGUUUUGGGACAAUUUAAUUGUUUGGAAACAUGUGACAUUGACAUUAAAACUGCUUGUAAUUUCAUUGAUCACAAAGAAAUUAUGUGGAGUGAUAUGGAAUUUCUAUAUGUGCAAUGACAACGUAUAUGCUUUACUACAUGUACUUGAUGUAUUGCUGUAACAUGGAGCCUCUUUGAUCCUAGAUAAGCUUAUAAUAUGAAUUGAGGAACUCUGUUUUCUAUUUUUUUUUUAAAAUUUAUUUUAGGGAAAAUUCCUAAUAAGUCCUACUUUUUAGCUCUAUUGACCAACAAGUUCUACAAAUUUUUUAGAAAGACAAAAAAGUCCUAUUUCAACAAACAUUUCCAAAUAAGUUCAGAUUCUGUAUUUUAUAAUUUUAUUUCCAUUAUUACCCUUUCUCUUCAAAGGGUUCUUCAGCUGCAUUGUUGAAAAGCUCUCGAGUCCUGUCUUUCUUGACUCUUAUACUCUCUCGCUCCUAAUUAAAAUUUGACUGAAAGUGUCUAUACAUUAUAUAUAUAUACACACACAUUUGAAUAUAGAGAUGGAUAGAAUUACAUAUUUGAUGGAUUUAUUUUCAAAUUUAAACUUCAUUAUAGAUAGAAUUUCAAAUCCACACUCCUCUCCUUCUCUGCCAUGCUCAAACCCUAAAUCUCAACCACCCCUCUCCUCCUAAUGCCCAAAAACCUUCAAUUUAGUGUGUGUGCACAUAUAUAUACAUAUUUGUAGAGAGAGAAAGAGAGAAUUAAAGGAUGGGUUUAAUUUUAGAUUUGUGCAAAUGCGUGAUACUGUAGAGAGAGUGUAUAUAAUACAAAUAUUUGUAGAGAGAGAGAGAAAUAAUUAAAGGCUAGAUUUAAUUUUCAGAAUUAAAGGAUGGGUUUAAUUUUCACACAUAUAUAUAUAUGCCACUAAACAAUUUUCAGAUCUAGCUAGCUGAAUCAUUGAAGAUGAAUCUGCAUUGUGUGAUGGUGGUGUUGGUGAGAAUAUCUUAGACGCGGGAACUUGCUGAAAGCGGGAAAGUGAAUUUGACAGAAAAAAGAGAGAUUAACCAGAAGAGUAGGAUUCUCAUGAUGAAGGAGAUGAGGUUAGAGAGAGAGAGAGAGAAUGUGUGUGAGAGUCGGGAGAUGAGAGGUUAGAGCAAAUACUGUGUGUGGAAUGGGUUUAGCUACUGUUGUGGGUCUGAUAUUAUGGAGAGAGUGCACGGUAGCAUUUGGAAAGGGUAAUAAUGGAAAAAUAAUGGUAAUAUACAGAAUUUGAACUUAGUUGGAAAUAUUUUUUAAAAUAGGACUUCUUUGUCUUUUUGAAAAAUUUGCAGAACUUGUUGGUCUUUGGAGCUAAAAAGUAGGACUUAUCAGGAAUUUUCCCUUUAUUUUAUGUCUCUUCUGUGCAGCUACUUGCUGGUCUUCCUUGUUUCGUUGGCUAGAAAACUAACUAAUGUUCUUUCUUUAAUAAAAUUUCAUUUACCCGAAAAAUAUUUGGGUCUCCAAUAGUGUGCCCAGAUCAUUCAGCUCAGAAUUGAAUGCACAAACAUUCAUCAAAAAAUGACAUAUUUCAUUUAGCUGAGAAUGUACCUAAUGUUAGAAAGAGAAAUUUGGGAACUGUUUGAUGAGAUUAACAAGUGCGCCAAAGUGUUCCAUUAAUCAAUUUGUGGUAUAAUAAACCCCUUUCCCAACCGUUUUACUAUUGAUCAUUAAUCAAUUUUUAGUUUUAUGUUUUGUUUUUGUUUCAUCUGUUGUUGUAAUUGUAUGCAUCCAUGAAAAAAACUGAAACUGUGGAGGCUUUGGUAUGCACGAGGGACUGGCUUUUUGGUUUGAAAGAUACAAUGAUGCUUCAAAUGGAUGACUUGAUUGAUGAUGUGAUGAAACUAAAUACCAACAAUGACGAUACUGUUGAAGGCCCGCCAAUGUUCCACCGGUGUUGGCAUGACCGAAAAUUAAAAUCCAAGACUUGUUGCCUCAAGAUUCAGUUUAAGACAUUUCUAUUAAACAAUUUUAUUUGGUUCUGUAAUAAUUAAUAACUUUAUUAGCUUAUGACUUAUCUUUUAUUUUUAAUCUCUUUUGGACUAGAGUAAUGUCUUUUGUUUGAACUUAUGACUUAUCUCAGUUUCAGACGUUUCUAUUAAUGGCUUUUGUUUUUAUUUGUUUUUA